GACACCGUGGAAUGCGUGCGUUUUAGCCUUAAUUAUUCGUAAGAUAAAUUAGUCUAUGUUAAGAGCAUUGUGAGCUCAUCGUGUACAAUGAUACUUAUCCAUCUUGCAAGGAAAAUUAAAAUUCUAUUCUCUUUUUCUGCCGAAACACGCGUCCAUUGAUUCUUCCGAAAGGUCGCAAACUCGUUCGUUCGUGCCGUGAUUUUUAUUUGAUUUUCCGAUUGAUUGCAGUUUCUCUUUGGCUUCUCCCUACUUUUAGGGGCACAUACAGCGUCAGUAGCUUCAUUUUCUUUCUCUCAUCCCAGGUUAGACAAAUGUGUCUUUGAUGCCGAAUGCAAACCAGUGGGGCUACGAAUUAUCGUACGAUGUUUAUAAAGAUCGAUGUAAUCAUUGUGUGAGAUAUAGAUAUUGCGCGAUGUAUCCUUUGUUUGAAAUUUGGAAAGAUUCGUGUAAGAUCGUUUUGUGUAGAUCGUUUGACUUUCCGUAUCUGCUUGUAUCUCCGUCAUCCUUCCCACCACGCCACUUUGGAAGCUGCUCAGCGAAACUAAGGCGCGACUAGUCCAUUCAGUCGUCUUCUUUUCUAUCGAUAACAUGGAUCACGUUGCGUCAGGUUAUCGAUCGAUGGCAGGGAUAAUAUAGAAGUAACAGGAAUAUUAAUAUAUGGACGCAACGACGAUCAACGAUCAGUCUGAUGAAUUUUCAUGGAAAUCUGACAUAUCACAGCUUCAACUUUUCCGUCUUCUUUGGGAAUGUUCUAACAGUGGCUCAGAAGCCAAGAACCUUUUCAAAUAAUCAGCAGUCAUUCAUCGUGUUUUGUUCUGCUGGGAUAGCGCGGCAGUUCGAUGGCGUAACGCUUCUGUUCCUCUGUUCCUCCUAACGCGUUGAAAACUUAUGUGGGUGAAACGCUAGAAUUGACUGGAGUUCUUCGACAAGAAAUGGGCACUUGUCUUUGCAUAGACAGCAACAAUGUGCCUCCGACAGUCAGCAAACGUUACUCUGUACAAGUUCACUGUAAACAAAAUAAAAACCUGCCAAGCACUGUGGCGGCACGGGCCACGGAACUUUUCAACGGCUCCGGAUGCAAAGCGCGACGCCGCCAAAGCGCAACACCGACGUGCCCAAUGUACCAUCGAUAUCUUCACACUCUUUCCGCCGAAUUCUCGGAAGAGCAUACACGUGCCAGCACUGGCGGCACAUCUAAUGAAUGCACGCUAGUGGGGGAUAUCGAUGGGCUACGAAGGGAAGAAUCUGCGCGAUCCGAAACAAAAGCACAGGCAGUCUGUCUUACGCCAUUAAAUGUGUAACUCCUCGGUACUAUUUGCAUAGCAACGCGUCGAAUGAUCUCUCGGUGUCUAUCGUUAUUUGUUAGUUGUUACCAGUUGUCUGUUAAGUGUAAUUGUUAAUUGUUAAUUGUUAACUCUGAUUGUUGAUUAGUUCUAAAUAAACUAUUGUUCGUUAAAAACACCAAGAGUAGUUCCUUACGCACCUAUCACCAUACCACCUCAGCACGAACGCCGUAUAGAUUGUUUUCACCUGUUCGAUUCGUGCUAGAUUUGACUAAAAUACUCAUGCGAAGUUAUUGAAAAUAUAAAAUCCGAAUUAACAUCCAGUUUUCAACAACCUGUCUAAAGAUACCGCUCACAAACAAGCUAUCAUUUCUUGAAACAAAUAUAUAAGAUUUAUUUACGUUAUCAAUUUUGUCGUGUGUCGAAAUACAGCCCACUCAAAACAUUCUAUGGACCAAACGAAAAAAUUGUUGACAUUGAUUGUCAACAAGUCCUACAAACUAGGAUCUUUCAUAUUUCUUUCGCUUUUGAUAAUUAGACACAACCUCCCGCUAGCCGAUGAGUCAUUCUGCUAUAUUUGGCUUAUCCUUUGUUAUUAUACAAAUUACUGCCAUUGUUCACGGCUGAUCUACUAAUUCGUUUGGUGACUAGACACUACGUUAGAUAUUUUAAUCAAAUAAACUCAUAAUUGUAUCGAUAAAAUACUUCCUAUCAGUACAAUAUAUGAUCUAAAAUUUAAACAUCCUGCUUCAGGGCGACAUAUCCAGUGAAUUAACGGCGCCUGAACAAUCCCUUAAAACGGGUAAAUCUAUAACUUUAUUAUCUAAUUUCAACCUAAUAUCCACAAACUGAUCAACAUAAUUUCACUAUGCCCAAAAAGAAUCGCCUUGCAAAUGAUAUCGAUAUUUACGACAUUUCUUUGCUAUAUUAAUAUAG